UACGUAGGUGGCAAGCGUUGUCCGGAUUUAUUGGGUUUAAAGGGUGCGUAGGUGGUCUAUUAAGUCAGUGCUGAAAUAUCCCGGCUUAACCGGGGGGGUGGCAUUGAUACUGAUGGACUUGAGUGGAGUUGAGGUAGGCGGAAUUGACGGUGUAGCGGUGAAAUGCUUAGAUAUCGUCAAGAACACCGAUAGCGAAGGCAGCUUACUAAGCUCUAACUGACACUGAUGCACGAAAGUGUGGGGAUCAAACAGG
rnacentral:rRNA from 1 species